GAUGAACGCUAGCGGGAGGCUUAAUACAUGCAAGUCGAGGGGUAACAGGGGCUUCGGCCCGCUGACGACCGGCGCACGGGUGAGUAACGCGUACGCAACUUACCUCCAAGCGAGGGAUAGCCCUGGGAAACUGGGAUUAAUACCUCAUGUGAUUAUGAUGCCGCAUGGUGUUAUAAUUAAAGUUCAGGCGCUUGGAGAUGGGCGUGCGUCCUAUUAGCUAGUUGGUGAGGUAACGGCUCACCAAGGCGACGAUAGGGUAGGGGGCGUGAGAGCGUCGGCCCCCCACACGGGUACUGGAGACACGGACCCGACUCCGUACGGGAGGCAGCAGUAAGGAAUAUUGGACAAUGGGCGCAAGCCUGAUCCAGCCAUCCCGCGUGCAGGAUGACAGCCCUA
rnacentral:rRNA from 1 species